rnacentral:rRNA from 1 species
GACGAACGCUGGCGGCGUGCUUAACACAUGCAAGUCGAACGGAAAGGCCCUGCUUUUGUGGGGUGCUCGAGUGGCGAACGGGUGAGUAACACGUGAGUAACCUGCCCUUGACUUUGGGAUAACUUCAGGAAACUGGGGCUAAUACCGGAUAGGAGCUCCUGCUGCAUGGUGGGGGUUGGAAAGUUUCGGCGGUUGGGGAUGGACUCGCGGCUUAUCAGCUUGUUGGUGGGGUAGUGGCUUACCAAGGCUUUGACGGGUAGCCGGCCUGAGAGGGUGACCGGCCACAUUGGGACUGAGCUACGGCCCAGACUCCUACGGGAGGCAGCAGUGGGGAAUAUUGCACCAUGGGCGGAAGCCUGAUGCAGCAACGCCGCGUGCGGGAUGACGGCCUUCUGGUUGUAAACCGCUUUCGCCUGUGACGAAGCGUGAGUGACGGUAAUGGGUAAAGAAGCACCGGCUAACUACGUG